UGUCGAAGCGGGGGGCCUACCAUGCAAGUCGAGCGAGAUUUCUUGGAACAAAGCUUCGGUAGAGUGAAGAGAAUGGAAGCGGCGGACGGGUGAGUAACGCGUAGGCAACCUGCCCCAUACAGAGGGAUAGCCUCGGGAAACCGGGAUUAAAACCUCAUAACGCGAAGGAUUCACAUGGACCCUUCGCCAAAGAUUCAUCGGUAUGGGAUGGGCCUGCGUCUGAUUAGCUAGUUGGUGAGGUAACGGCCCACCAAGGCGACGAUCAGUAGCCGACCUGAGAGGGUGAUCGGCCACAUUGGAACUGAGACACGGUCCAAACUCCUACGGGAGGCAGCAGUGGGGAAUAUUGCACAAUGGGCGAAAGCCUGAUGCAGCAACGCCGCGUGAGUGAAGAAGGCCUUUGGGUCGUAAAGCUCUGUCCUGGGGGACGAAGAAAGUGACGGUACCCCAGGAGGAAGCCCCGGCUAACUACGUGCCAGCAGCCGCGGUAAUACGUAGGGGGCGAGCGUUAUCCGGAAUUAUUGGGCGUAAAGAGUGCGUAGGUGGUUGUUUAAGCGCGAGGUGAAAGGCAACAGCUCAACUGUUGUGAGCCUUGCGAACUGGACGACUUGAGUGCAGGAGAGGAAAGCGGAAUUCCUAGUGUAGCGGUGAAAUGCGUAGAUAUUAGGAGGAACACCAGUGGCGAAGGCGGCUUUCUGGACUGUAACUGACACUGAGGCACGAAAGCGUGGGGAGCAAACAGGAUUAGAUACCCUGGUAGUCCACGCCGUAAACGAUGAGCACUAGGUGUCGGGGCCGCAAGGUCUCGGUGCCGCAGUUAACGCAUUAAGUGCUCCGCCUGGGGAGUACGCACGCAAGUGUGAAACUCAAAGGAAUUGACGG
rnacentral:rRNA from 1 species